rnacentral:rRNA from 1 species
GCCAGCAGCAUACCCCCCUGCAUCCCACUGCUGGCUUUCCACUGAAGCUAAGCAGGUUUGGUCCUGGUCGGUCCCUGGAUUGGAGACCAGAUGCUGCUGGAA